GGGGGGGGGGGGGGGUGGGGCGGGGGCGGGGGGGUCGGGCGGGGCGGCGGGCCGAGCGGCAGGCGGCUGAGUGACGCGUUGGUAACUACCGCCAACGCAGGGAUACCGCCGGGAAACCGGUGCUAAUACCGGCUGGUCCCGUAAGGGUAAAGUUUUUACGGUUUGCGAGGUGCCUGCGUCCUAUCAGGUAGUUGGGGAGGUAACGGCUCACCAAGCCUAUGACGGGUAACUGGUCUGAGAGGAUGACCAGUCAGAGGGAAACUGAGACACGGUUCCCACUUCUACGGAAGGCAGCAGUAAAGAAUCUUCCACAAUGGACGAAAGUCUGAUGGAGCGACACCGCGUGCAGGAUGAAGGCCCUUGGGUCGUAAACUGCUUUUUUGGGGGAAAAAUUCUGAUUGUACCCUAAGAAUAAGCACCGGCAAAUCACGUG
rnacentral:rRNA from 1 species